UACGGAGGGGGCAAGCGUUGUUCGGAAUUACUGCGCGUAAAGGGCGCGCAGGCGGCUGCUCAAGUCAGGCGUGAAAGGCCUGGGCUCAACCCGGGAAUUGCGCUUGAGACUGGGCUGGCUUGAGUGCGGGAGAGGAUGGUGGAAUUCCCAGUGUAGAGGUGAAAUUCGUAGAUAUGGGGAGGAACGCCGGUGGCGAAGGCGGCCACCUGGACGGUAACUGACGCUGAGACGCGAAAGCGUGGGGAGCAAACAGG
rnacentral:rRNA from 1 species